AAAAAAAAAAAAAAAAAAAAAAAAAAAAAAAUCAGCCAAUAUCAAAAUAUUUUCUUUUCUCCUCGAUUACAGGAGCAUUUUUCUUCUCGUUAACCUAUUCUGGUUAACGAAUGGUGGAUUCAUUUUAGAGGAACAACACGAGCCGUUGAUAAGAAUGGGCACAUACGUGUUGAAGACAGAGCAAAUGAGAUACGAACAGGCCUAUAGCCUAGGAAAUUGAGAAAACAAAAUGAGUAUAUUUACAGAUUAAUCCUGCCUAAAACCUCAAAUCAGGGGGGGUUUUAGGUCAACAGCAAUUUACCAGGCGAUCCACAGAAGACGAGAAGGAAGAUAAACCAGAAUGGUGAAUAGAAGGAAGGUAAAACAGAAUGAUGGUAUGGUGAGUGUAGAUUGCUGCUAUACGGUAAUGCAAGUGUAAUUUUGGGUUAUCCUUUUCGGUAUUAAAUACUUGCAUUGCUGUAGACCUUUUUUUUUUUUUCAUAUUUCCAAUAUUUUUACUUUUAAUUUGGUAUAAGAUUUUUUGGCUUAAUUAUUGACAAGAGGGGUGAAUUAUCAUGAAUUCUCAAAAUUAUAUAUUUGUGAGAAAAAUAUUUUUCUUGACUCUAUAUUUUGAGUAAGAAAAUGGAAAUAUUAAAAUUAAAAUUGUUUUCAUUAUUAAUAAAUAUUAAAGACAUAUAUGCUUAAAUGGGAAAACAUGAAAAAGGUAUCAAAUUGGGAAGAAGUUGACAAUAGGAGAGAGUAGAGAAUAGAAAA